rnacentral:rRNA from 1 species
AUACGGAGGGUGCGAGCGUUGUUCGGAAUUAUUGGGCGUAAAGAGCAUGUAGGCGGUCUGUUAAGUCUGGUGUGAAAGCCCGGGGCUCAACCCCGGAAGUGCAUUGGAUACUGGCAGACUUGAGUAUGGGAGAGGAAAGCGGAAUUCCGAGUGUAGGAGUGAAAUCCGUAGAUAUUCGGAGGAACACCAGUGGCGAAGGCGGCUUUCUGGACCAAUACUGACGCUGAGAUGAGAAAGCGUGGGGAGCAAACAGGAUUAGAAACCCUAGUAGUCC